AUUGCACUGUGUGAGCAGAACACAAUUUAUCCUUCCACUGCUGAUGGGCAUUUGGGCGGUUUGCAGUUUGGGAUCUGGCCAGUUCUGCUGUUGUGAGCAUUCUUAAGCCUGCCUUUCGGUGAAUUCACACGCCCGUGGGAAGUUCAUAUGAGCCAUAACAAGGAUUGGAAGAAGUUUUAGAAGUAACCUCCUGGGAGUCCAUGAAUUAGCAGCAGUGAGAGGCUAGAGGCCUGACAAAGAAUUGAGAAGCAGCUGCUAUAUCCCAAGUGGCAAAUGCCAGUGUGGAUGGAGAAGAGAGAGCUUCAUUCUGUGGCAGGAAAGCUUGGCUGCUGACAAUGAGACUGCACCCUUGGGAUUUGUCCCUUGGAUUCUUUAGCAUCUGAGCUCUAACCUCUGAAACACAAGAAAAAAUGAGCAAGAUGUUUGCUCAGCAUCAAUUCAGAUACCGCUGAAUAGAAGGCAACACCCAACCACACAGCCAGAGGCCUCCUGGGUAAAUCGGGGACUGCUCUCCUCUGACCCCUCUUUCUCCUGCCUCUACCCCUUGGCUUCACAGCAAUUAUUCAUUUUUUAACACUCAAAUGCUGGGUACCUGUUGCCUAUGUCGGGGCACGCUGUUACUCCCUACACACAGGUAAAAUUGAUUAACCGAAUCUUGCCCUCCACUGGCUUACUGUGCAACGGUAGAGACUGGAAGCAACAGACGAGGGUGAGCUUUGGAAGAGCUGAUGAGGCCAUGAUUAAUUUCAACUGAGAGGACGCUCACUCUCAGAGCACAGCUUCCAGAGGAGAGAAGAUACCCCCAGCAUCCAUGAGAAGAGACCUCCGGGAGAAGCUUGUGUGGGUGUGCCGACCACUGGCCCCAGUUGAGGUCCCAGCCAACAUCAGCUCCGACUUCCAGCCAUGCUCACCAACUUCUCCUGCCCACUCCCUAUCAAGGAAAAGUCCCAUAAUGUAUCCAUCAACCACCAUGGCUAAUGCACCCG
rnacentral:lncRNA from 1 species